rnacentral:misc_RNA from 1 species
GAUGAAGAACGCAGCGAAAUGCGAUAAGUAAUGCGAAUUGCAGAAUUCAGUGAGUCAUCGAAUCUUUGAACGCACAUUGCGCCCGCCAGUAUUCUGGCGGGCAUGCCUGUUCGAGCGUCAUUACAACCCUCAGGCCCCCGGGCCUGGCGUUGGGGAUCGGCGGAAGCCCCCUGCGGGCACAACGCCGUCCCCCAAAUACAGUGGCGGUCCCGCCGCAGCUACCAUUGCGUAGUAGCUAACACCUCGCAACUGGAGAGCGGCGCGGCCACGCCGUAAAACACCCAACUUCUGAAUGUUGACCUCGAAUCAGGUAGGAAUACCCGCUGAACUUAAGCAUAUCAAUAAGCGGAGGA